GGGAGAGUGGUGUAGUGGUCUGAGUGUUGGAUGAUAACUCUGGAGACCAGGGUUUGAAUCCCAGCUCAGCCA